UACGAAGGGGGGCUAGCGUUGCUCGGAAUUACUGGGCGUAAAGGGAGCGUAGGCGGGUUAUCAAGUUGGAGGUGAAAGCCCAGGGCUCAACCUUGGAAUUGCCUUCAAAACUGAUAGCCUGGAGUAUGAUAGAGGUAUGUGGAACUCCGAGUGUAGAGGUGAAAUUCGUAGAUAUUCGGAAGAACACCAGUGGCGAAGGCGGCUCACUGGCCCGGUACUGACGCUGAGAUACGAAAGCGUGGGGAGCAAACAGG
rnacentral:rRNA from 1 species